rfam:Felis catus isolate Cinnamon breed Abyssinian chromosome A1, whole genome shotgun sequence.
GCCUGGGUGGCUAAGCUGGUUAAGCAUCUGACUUCAGCUUAGGUCAUGAUCUCACGGUUUGUGAGUUCGAGCCCCACGUCGGGCU